rnacentral:rRNA from 1 species
UACGGGGGGAGCAAGCGUUGUUCGGAUUUACUGGGCGUAAAGGGCGCGUAGGCGGCCAGCACAAGUCAGUUGUGAAAUCUCCGAGCUUAACUCGGAAAGGUCAACUGAUACUGUGCGGCUAGAGUGCAGAAGGGGCAACUGGAAUUCUUGGUGUAGCGGUGAAAUGCGUAGAUAUCUGGAGGAACACCGGUGGCGAAGGCGGCGACCUGGUCCAUUACUGACGCUGAGGCGCGAAGCG